rnacentral:rRNA from 1 species
GUGCCAGCAGCCGCGGUAAUACGAGAGGCCCAAACGUUAUUCGGAUUUACUGGGCUUAAAGAGUUCGUAGGCGGUUCGGUAAGUGAGGUGUGAAAGCCCUCGGCUCAACCGAGGAAUUGCGCUUCAAACUGCCGGGCUCGAGGGAGAUAGAGGUGAGCGGAACUGAUGGUGGAGCGGUGAAAUGCGUUGAUAUCAUCAGGAACACCAGAGGCGAAGGCGGCUCACUGGGUCUCUUCUGACGCUGAGGAACGAAAGCUAGGGGAGCAAACGGGAUUAGAAACCCCCGUAGUCC